AUCAACUUUCGAUGGUAGGAUAGAGGCCUACCAUGGUGGUAACGGGUAACGGGGUGUUAGGGCACGACACCGGAGAGGGAGCCUGAGAAACGGCUACCACAUCCAAGGAUGGCAGCAGGCGCGCAAAUUACCCAAUCCCGACACGGGGAGGUAGUGACAAUAAAUAACAAUACGGGGUUCUUUUGGAUUUCGUAAUUGGAAUGAGUACAAUUUAAAUCUCUUAACGAGGAACAAUUGGAGGGCAAGUCUGGUGCCAGCAGCCGCGGUAAUUCCAGCUCCAAUAGCGUAUAUUAAAGUUGUUGCAGUUAAAAAGCUCGUAGUUGAAUUUCGGGAUCAGUGGGUCGGUCGUGCCACUGGUAUGCACUGGCCCUACUGGUUCCUCCUUCUUGAAGAACUGUAAUGCCAUUAAUUUGGUGUUGCAGGGAAACAGGACUGUUACUUUGAAAAAAUUAGAGUGUUUAAAGCAGGCAAUCGCUUGAAUACAUUAGCAUGGAAUAAUGAAAUAGGACGUUCGAUCCUAUUUUGUUGGUUUUUAGGAUUGACGUAAUGAUUAAUAGGGAUAGUUGGGGGCAUUAGUAUUCAAUUGUCAGAGGUGAAAUUCUUGGAUUUAUUGAAGACUAACUACUGCGAAAGCAUUUGCCAAGGAUGUUUUCAUUAAUCAAGAACGAAAGUUAGGGGAUCGAAGACGAUCAGAUACCGUCGUAGUCUUAACCAUAAACUAUGCCGACUAGGGAUCGGAUGAUGUUAAUUUUUUAAUGACUCAUUCGGCGCCUUACGGGAAACCAAAGUGUUUGGGUU
rnacentral:rRNA from 1 species